GCCCUUCCAAAGGUUUAAACCUUUUCUAUUAUCAUCAAUGAUGGUACCAGAUCAUCCCCACAUCUGUAUUUUGCUCUCAUAAUCCAGACCCAGAGGUCAUCCCUUUUAGUACAAAGGGACCAGCCUAUCUAUUUUCAUCAUGUAAGUUGUGUUCACGUGCCUGGAAGAUCUAAACCCCAAACCACCUUCAUUCUUAGGCUUGACAGAUUAUUCCAAGCCACAGUGUGAAU
rnacentral:lncRNA from 1 species